rnacentral:misc_RNA from 1 species
GAUGAAGAACGUAGCAAAAUGCGAUAAGUAAUGUGAAUUGCAGAAUUCAGUGAAUCAUCGAAUCUUUGAACGCGCAUUGCGCCCGCCAGUAUUCUGGCGGGCAUGCCUGUUCGAGCGUCAUUUCAACCCUCAAGCCCUCGGGUUUGGUGUUGGGGAUCGGCGAGCCUUUCUGGCAAGCCGGCCCCGAAAUCUAGUGGCGGUCUCGCUGCAGCCUCCAUUGCGUAGUAGUAAAACCCUCGCAACUGGAACGCGGCGCGGCCAAGCCGUUAAACCCCCAACUUCUGAAUGUUGACCUCGGAUCAGGUAGGAAUACCCGCUGAACUUAAGCAUAUCAAUAAGCGGAGGA